rnacentral:rRNA from 1 species
UAGGGAAUCUUCGGCAAUGGACGAAAGUCUGACCGAGCAACGCCGCGUGAGUGUAGAAGGUUUUCGGAUCGUAAAACUCUGUUGUUAGAGAAGAACAAGGACGUUAGUAACUGAACGUCCCCUGACGGUAUCUAACCAGAAAGCCACGGCUAACUACGUGCCAGCAGCCGCGGUAAUACGUAGGUGGCAAGCGUUGUCCGGAUUUAUUGGGCGUAAAGCGAGCGCAGGCGGUUUCUUAAGUCUGAUGUGAAAGCCCCCGGCUCAACCGGGGAGGGUCAUUGGAAACUGGGAGACUUGAGUGCAGAAGAGGAGAGUGGAAUUCCAUGUGUAGCGGUGAAAUGCGUAGAUAUGUGGAGGAACACCAGUGGCGAAGGCGGCUCUCUGGUCUGUAACUGACGCUGAGGCUCGAAAGCGUGGGGAGCAAACAGG